AAAAGAGGGGAGUAGAGAGAGAGAGGGGAGUAGAGAGAGAGCGGAGUAAAGAGAGAGAGAGAGCGAGGGGAGUAGAGAGGGGAGUAGAGAAAGAGAGGGGAGUAGAGAGAGAGAGAGGGAAGUACAGAGAGAGAGGGGAAGAGAGGGGAGUAGAGAAAGAGAGGGGAGUAGAGAGAGAGAGAGAGGGAGUAGAGAGAGAGAGGGAGGAGAGAGAGGGGAGAGAGAGAGAGAGGGGAGUAGAGAGAGAGAGAGAGAGAGAGAGGGGAGAGAGCGAGAGGAGUAGAGAGAGCGAGGGGAGUAAAGAAAAAGAGGAGGAGAGAGAGCGAGGGGAGUAGAGAGAGAGAGAGAGAGGGGAGGAGAGAGGGGAGUAGAGAGAGAGCGGGGAGGAGAGAGAGAGCAAGAGAGAGAGAGAGAGGGGAGGAGAGAGGGGAGUAGAGAGAGAGAGGAGUAGAGAGAGCGAGAGGGAAGGGAGUAAAGAGAGAGAGAGAGAGGGGAGUAGAGAGAGAGAGGGAGUAGACAGAGAGAGGGAGUAGAGAGAGAGGGGAGUAGAGAGAGAGGGGAGUAGAGAGAGAGAGGAGUAGAGAGAGAGAGAGAGAGGUAGAGAGAGCGAGGGGAGGGGAGGGGAGAGAGGGGAGAAGAGAGAGAUGGGAGUAGAGAGAGAGAGGGGAGUAGAGAGAGAGAGGGAGUAGAGAGAGGGAGAGGGGAGUAGAGAGAGCAAGAGAGAGGGGAGUAGAGAGAGGGAAGGAGAGUGAGAGAGAAGGGAGUAGAGAGAAAGAGAUGGGAGUAGAGAGAGAGAGGGGAGUAGAGAGAGAGAGGGAGAAAUGGGAGUAGAGAGCGGGGAAGAGGGGGAGAGAUGGGAGUAGAGAGCGGGGAGGAGAGAGAGAGAGGGGAGUAGAGAGAAAGGGGAGUUGAGAGCGAGAGGGGAGUAGGGAGAGAGAGGGGAGUAGAGAGAGAGACGGGAGUAGAGAGAGAGUGGAGUAGAGAAAGAGAGAGCGGAGUAAAGAGAGAGAGAGCGAGGGGAGUAGAGAGAGGGGAGUAGAGAAAGAGAGGGGAGUAGAGAGAGAGAGAGGGGAGAGAGAGAGGGGAAUACAGAGAGAGAGCGAGAGAGAGGGGAGUAGAGAAAGAGAGGGGAGUAGAGAGAGAGAGGGGAGUAGAGAGAGAGCGGAGUAAAGAGAGAGAGAGAGCGAGGGGAGUAGAGAGGGGAGUAGAGAAAGAGAGGGGAGUAGAGAGAGAGAGAGGGAAGUACAGAGAGAGAGAGGGGAGUACAGAGAGAGAGCGAGAGAGAGGAGAGUAGAGAAAGAGAGGGGAGUAGAGAAAGAGAGGGGAGUAGAGAGAGAGAGGGAGUAGAGAAAGAGAGGGGAGUAGAGAGAGAGAGAGGGGAGUAGAGAGAGAGGGAGUAGAGAGAGAGAGGGGAGUAGAGAGAGAGAGAGGGGAGUAGAGAGAGCGAGAGAGAGAGAGAGAGAGG
ensembl:lncRNA